rnacentral:rRNA from 1 species
GACGAACGCUGGCGGCGUGCUUAACACAUGCAAGUCGAACGGCAAGGCCCUGCUUUUGUGGUGUGCUCGAGUGGCGAACGGGUGAGUAACACGUGAGUAACCUGCCCUUGACUUUGGGAUAACUUCAGGAAACUGGGGCUAAUACCGGAUCGGAGCUCCUGCUGCAUGGUGGGGGUUGGAAAGUUUCGGCGGUUGGGGAUGGACUCGCGGCUUAUCAGCUUGUUGGUUGGGUAGUGGCUUACCAAGGCUUUGACGGGUAGCCGGCAUGAGAGGGUGACCGGCGACAUUGGGACUGAGAUACGGACCAGACUCCAACGGGAGGCAGCAGUGGGGAAUAUUGCACAACGAGAGGAAGCGUGAUGCAGAAGCGUCGCGUGCGGGAUGACGGCUUGCGGGUUGUAAACCGCUUUAGCCUGAGACGAAGCGUGAGUGGCGGUAAUGGGUAAAGAAGCACCGGCUAACUACGUG